GACGAACGCUGGCGGCGUGCCUAAUACAUGCAAGUUGAGCGCUGAAGGUUGGUACUUGUACCAACUGGAUGAGCAGCGAACGGGUGAGUAACGCGUGGGGAAUCUGCCUUUGAGCGGGGGACAACAUUUGGAAACGAAUGCUAAUACCGCAUAAAAACUUUAAACACAAGUUUUAAGUUUGAAAGAUGCAAUUGCAUCACUCAAAGAUGAUCCCGCGUUGUAUUAGCUAGUUGGUGAGGUAAAGGCUCACCAAGGCGAUGAUACAUAGCCGACCUGAGAGGGUGAUCGGCCACAGUGGGACUGAGACACGGCCCAAACUCCUACGGGAGGCAGCAGUAGGGAAUCUUCGGCAAUGGACGAAAGUCUGACCGAGCAACGCCGCGUGAGUGAAGAAGGUUUUCGGAUCGUAAAACUCUGUUGGUAGAGAAGAACGUUGGUGAGAGUGGAAAGCUCAUCAAGUGACGGUAACUACCCAGAAAGGGACGGCUAACUACGUG
rnacentral:rRNA from 1 species